CGAAGACCCUCUGACCUUUUUCAUGGCUUCGCCUCUAUGCAGACCUAGUGACUCUAAACCGGGCUUUUCCCUCAGCUCAGUGCCCGGGCAGACCCAUUUCUGCUCCACAUCCCCUCUUAACACAGCCUUCUCACCUGGCCUCCAUGUCUCCUUGCACAGUCUUCACUUCUCAGAACAUGGCUCUGAGCUUCAGGUUGCUGAGGCCUCGUGUCUCGUAAAUAGCUUUGCUUCUCUCUGCCUCAUCCCCAGAAGCCGUCUCCCCUGAACGGCACCACCAAAACUGAGGACACGUAUGACAUCGUGGAGCCUGUGUAACAAGACAUUCAGGCAAUGCAGGACAACUUACUACAUGUCAGAGGAGAGCCACUGGCUUGGAGAGGUCCUGAUAGGCAUGGAAGAUAGCUGACCAAACAGUACAGAAGAGGGGAGGCAAGCCCAUGGCUGGCUCUAGACACAGGAAACCCAGCAGAACAUGGGUGCUCACAGAGUAUGGCUUGUACUGGUUUAAAGUGGUGCUAUUUCCUGUCUGCAGCCUAUUAUGUAAAGCCAACUGUGAUGAGGACUAGAAGGAAAAAGGACUAUGCAAUAAAAUGUAGUAGGAGA